AAUGACUUGACACAAGAUCAAGCAUUGAUGGACGUUUAAGAGAAAUAUUUGAAUGAGUGUUUGAGAGAAAACAAAGUAGAUAAAUUUGGAUGAUGGCGUGAACUAGGAUGAGCGAGACAUCCGUCUCGAAUCCUAGUCUCAGGAGUGCGCGGUAUACACCACGUUCCAUUUCCAUCUUUAUUGAAAAGGUCUUGAAUAUGAACUAAUAUUUUUUUUUGAUUUUUUGAUUAUGAAAAAUGGCUUGACGUUGGAUCAGGCGUUUGAUGUAGGUUUGAAA
rnacentral:lncRNA from 1 species